GACGAACCGUGCGAACGUUAUUCGGAAUCACUGGGCUUAAAGCGCGUGUAGGCGGGACGGCACGUCUGUCGCUGAAAUCCCCCGGCUUAACCGGGGAACUGGCGUAGAUACGACCGUCCUGGAGGGGCGUAGGGGGACCUGGAACUUCCGGUGGGAGCGGUGAAAUGCGUUGAGAUCGGAAGGAACGCCCGUGGCGAAAGCGAGGUCCUGGACGCCUACUGACGCUGAGACGCGAAAGCGUGGGGAGCAAACAGG
rnacentral:rRNA from 1 species